UACAGAGGUCUCAAGCGUUUGUUCGGAUUCAUUGGGCGUAAAGGGUGCGUAGGCGGCGCGGUAAGUCGGGUGUGAAAUCUCGGAGCUUAACUCCGAAACUGCAUUCGAUACUGCCGUGCUUGAGGACUGGAGAGGAGACUGGAAUUUACGGUGUAGCGGUGAAAUGCGUAGAUAUCGUAAGGAAGACCAGUGGCGAAGGCAGGUCUCUGGACAGUUCCUGACGCUGAGGCACGAAGGCCCAGGGGGAGCAAACGGGAUUAGA
rnacentral:rRNA from 1 species